CCGGGAUAGCUCAGUUGGUAGAGCGG
rnacentral:tRNA from 1 species